rnacentral:rRNA from 1 species
GACGAACGCUGGCGGCGUGCUUAACACAUGCAAGUCGAGCGGUAAGGCCUCUUCGGGGGUACACGAGCGGCGAACGGGUGAGUAACACGUGGGUGACCUGCCCUCAGCUCUGGGAUAAGCCUGGGAAACUGGGUCUAAUACCGGAUAUGACCACAUGUUGCAUGGUGUGUGGUGGAAAGUUUUUUCGGCUGGGGAUGGGCCCGCGGCCUAUCAGCUUGUUGGUGGGGUGAUGGCCUACCAAGGCGACGACGGGUAGCCGGCCUGAGAGGGCGACCGGCCACACUGGGACUGAGACACGGCCCAGACUCCUACGGGAGGCAGCAGUGGGGAAUAUUGCGCAAUGGGCGGAAGCCUGACGCAGCGACGCCGCGUGGGGGAUGACGGCCUUCGGGUUGUAAACCUCUUUCGACCGGGACGAAGCGUAAGUGACGGUACCGGUAGAAAAAGCACCGGCCAACUACGUG